AUCAAUUUAUCAAUUCCCUCCUUAUCUCAUCGUCGCAUAGAUCGGUUCCUGAAAGUCUGAAAGAAAAACCUAGCCCUACACCGGCGAUUCCCCACCCCUGUUCCUGCACAGUUUCGCCGACCCACAUUUGCUGCCCUCCGGCUGUUGCUGUUGUUGUCGCUGUCCCGCACCACCAUCGACCUCCUCAUACCGCCACAGUCCCUGCAUCCGGCUGUCAUUAUCGCAAACCACCACCGACCCUGCCGCAUACCGCCACCGUCACUGCCCCAACACCUCCAUUAACGACACCUGAAGAAUGGAUUCAUGGAAGAUUAUAUGUUUUGGUAUGCACAUGGGGAAUUAUAUCCAACACAAGAAAUUGGUCAAUGUUCAAUCUCUGAAACGGCUCAAGACAAUGAUGAAGGUGUGGGUGAUUAUCGUAGAUACGAGCAAAUGAUUAUCGAAAGCAUGCAUCAACCUGAGGCUCCUUACUAUCAACAGGCUCCUUAUUGUCAACAAGCAAAACAAAACCCAAAUCAAUCAGCCCGAACUUUCUAUAAAAUGUUGAACCAAGUUAGCGAGCCUUUAUGGGACGGGUCCAAAAAAGCUUCCACACUCUCCACCACCACUAGUCUAAUUGCUGUUAAUACGUGUUUUCUCCUCAGACCACCGCCUAUAGACACUUCUAUCGAUGCUUCCCAUCCUCUUUCGAAAACCCUCAAUCUCUCUCUAAACUCAUCAGCUUUAGAGAGUAAACAUCCCACAAUCAAUCUCCACCGCCUUACCUUCGGUUUUUCAUUUUUGGUUUCAAAUUUUUCGGAGAAAAUUGGAUCCCCACAUUAUCCGCAAUCUUUAAAUAUUGUUGGAAUGGAAUGUCGAUUAAUACUCCGAUCUUCAACAUCGGCGAGGUAUGGAUAACUCAUAAUAUCACCUUUAUUCUCAUCACUGUCAGUAGUCUAUUGGUUUCAAUUUUGGGUUUCAUGGAUUCAUAUAUCAGCUUCAAUUCAAGAACGUUUCAUAGAUGGCGAUGCUCUUUCUGUUUCUUUUGUUAAGAUUGAGGAAUCAUGGGUUGAUGGUUGUUAGCGAUUUCGAUUAUCGACACUGGCAUAUGGAGGUUUAGUUAGGAUACAGAAUUUAGUGGUCUGGUGAUACCUGUUGUGUCAGUUUCGAAGGAUGUUAUCGUGGGUGGGGAUUCAGUGUGGUUUUUUUUGGGGGUUUGUCUUUUCAUUCUUCAUAUUGCGUGGCUCUUACUGCCAAUUUUUUCUCUUCUACCCUUCCCAUGAAAACAUCUAUACGAUUUAGGGUUUUAAGAUUUUUUGUUUUUGAUUGUUGCAAUUUGGCAUGAAAAUGGAUAAAAACAGUUGUCUAGUAGGAAUCCUUUAAGGAAAAACAAAAUAAAUGUGUAAGUCUUAGCCACCAUCAAAAUUAUUUUCUAGGUCUCAACUCUUUUUGCUUAUGUUUGAUGGUCGAAUGACUUUUCAGAUGCAUCAGUCAGUUUGAUUUUUAAUUAAAUGCUCCGCCUAUGGACCCAAUUUUUGACUUUGAAUUUAGAUUCAAGGCUACUUGUGAAACAAUAAAAUUUGGAUGUAGCAAAGAGGCAAAAAGUUGUACCCAGGGCCAAUGUUAUAUCCAUAUCCGUUGCGUACAAACUCCAUGCAUUCAGAAAAGCAGAAGGAGAAAGAUAUGACACUUCUCACAAAAGGAUUCCAUUCAUGCCCAUACUUGCUUUGAUCAAGAAGUCAAUGCUUCUGGAUGACUAUUGAUGAUCUUCUUACAAGUCCCAAGGAAAAAGACAGAUAACUUGACAUUUUCAAUGGGAAGACAAUUGUAUGUAUUUCAUUCUUUAAAUUGAUUUAUUUAUCCUAUUCUUUUAAGUUAGUUUACACUUCUCAGUUGUGGUAGUUCUAUCGAAAUUUCCAGCAGUUAUAAUCGUUUUAAACUUUGGAUUCAAUUUUGGGCUCUGAUUGAAACCCUUAUAUCUUUGUAACUAUUGUUUCAAAUAAGCUUCAAUAAUUUCUAUAAAUUAAGGUAUUGUCUCCCUUGUAUGUUAUUAACCCUUUAGAUAACAUGAGUUAUUAACACAACUUGGAUUAAAAUCUGUGUAUUAGGGCUAGGUGAGCAUGUGGUAUAUAUGAUAUAUCAUUCAAUACCAUGAGAUACGAUGCCUACUACAAGAUGUACUAAAAGCAAUGUCCGAGUGGCAUUUUUUCAUUUAUGUUCCACUUUCUUAAGAGGAUUAAUCAACGGACCAUAUGGUUUACAUACAUAUAGUAUGAAGUUUUAAAAGUUGAUGCAUUUUAAAAAUGAAAACAUACAAAAAUAUUUCUGUCAUUGUCUCAUAGAAUUAAGCAAUGAGAUUUUGCUUGACUUUGUACUAAUCAAUAGCAGAGACCGAAAUUGAUAUUCCAUAUUUAUUUUAUCCUCCAAGGUUAGUGAUCAUAACUUUAUAUCUUAUUUAUUUUUUCAUUAUAUGAUGUGUAAGUUUCAUUGUGUCAAGUGAGACGCAACUUUAAUAAUAAUAAUAAUAGUUUUGUUUUUGUUUAGAUUUGGAGUAUGAAGCACGAGAAACACAUUCAUGAUUUAAAGAUACCAUACUAAGGUAAUUAACUGGUUGAUUUUGAGUAAUUAGUUGUGGUUAUUUUAAAUUGGGAAUCUUUGAUUUGUUACUAACUAAAGGCAGUGAGAUGGAGUUCAAUUGAGCUAUGCAUCAUUAAUCCAAAAAAAAACUAUUGUUGCCAAGUGAAUCACUUGAGUCAAUAAUAAAUGUAUGGGAUGUAGUACAUGAAAGAAUACGUGUAACCUUGAACCGGCAUAGGUUCGAUGUGUACAUCUUAAUAUGGACCGAAACUCAAGAAACUUAAUUUUACAGGUAUUUGACUAUAAUCUCCAUGGCAAUUCCCAACCCACUAUCCAUCUGUAACGCCUGGUUCGUGGUGCGUAUUUAAUUAUAAUUUAUUCACUUUUGUAGAGCUACUCGACGAGUGGGGAGCCCCAAACUCAUCGAGUAGAAACCAGAAUUGACGCAGGAUUUUAAGUCACCUACUCGACGAGUUGAGAGCCUCAGCUCGACGAGUAGGGCUGCCAGGAUGAAAAAAGGGUUGAUUUUUUUGAUGUGUUAGCUAAAAAAUGGGUAGACAGUCUCCGUUUUCACAAGGUGGAUCUUGUUGAUAAAGUGUUUUCUUCUGUAGCUUUUAGGAACGAGGCCUUUAUUGCCCAGUUUUUGGCCAUUUAGGAUGUUGAGUAGCACUGAUCUACGGUGCAUCCUUCUUGGUCCACCUCGAUCGAUCGUGUGAGUUUGGAUCGUGUUAUGGAGUCUUCUAGGAAGAGAGUUGUGGAAGGGGAGUUUGUGGAGGAUAACAAAGAGGGGAUUAUUCCUAUGGUGAAGGAACGUAAAGCGACCUAGGAAAAUUAGAGUAGUGAUGACACUGAAGGGCUUGCACUUGUCCGACAUUUAUGGCCGCGUUGGGUGGGUGGUGGUAGUUCCAAGGUCUAUGUUGUUCAAGCUGGUGUUAUAUAUAUUCCAGUCAACAUGAAUGUGGAUAAGAGUGGCGUUCCUGGUUUAAGUGUGCAUGUUAAUGAUGUUAUCAUUGAUCAUACUGUUAUUCCUGAUAAUUCUCAAGGUGUGGAGGAAGUUGGUGUUGGGGAUGCACCAUUUCUUGGCUUUGGACAUUGUGGUGUCAUAGUAGGUUAUGAGAGCGAAGGACAAGGAUCGAGUGUUGUGGAUUUCUACCCUCGUUUUUCUCUUAAGGAUGAUUAUCAUAUGUCUGUGUUUGAGAUGGUGGUUGAUGUAACCAAGAAUGUGUUUCCUCCCGGUACAGAUUUUGAGAUGUCUGGGUAUUCUUUGUUUAAUUUUGUUGGGUCGCUCUGAAUUGUUGCGGCCCAGAGUGCUUGCUUCUUUGCUGAGGGUGCUAACCCUUUAAAGCGGUUUUUGGCGGUUGAUGAAGAUAGAGUCCAACUGUAGAGGGAAAUGCAUAUGUUACAAUCAGAGCAUGUUAUGUUGUUAUCCUCUCGAUCGGAGUUGAAACCUAAGGUUGUCUGGUUGGAGAAGGGCCUAUUUGGGAUGAAGAAAAUUCAAGAAGUGAUGGAGGCUCUGAGGGAGGAGGUUAGUAUAUUGGAGCAUGAAAAGAUUAUUCUUGGUGUUGUUGUCGGUCAGUAAGAGCAGGAGAACGAGGGUUUAAACAUUCAAUUGGAAAGUUUUGAGAAAGAUAUGGUGGAGAAAGAUCGGCUUGUUGGGGAAAAAACAAUGGUAGUCAAGCGUUCGAAAACGGAUCUGUGAUGGGUUAUGAAUGAGGGUAUUUCUAGGGUUAUUCAUCAACUUUUGGAGAGUAAAGAGUUCAGCUGUGUUGUGAAGCAUGUGUUGCAGUUGGGAAAACAUUAGGUGUUCGUCAAGUGAAGGAAUUGGUUCAGGGUGGUGGGUGUUUGGAAGAUAUUCCGGAAAGUACUAUUGAUUAUGAUGUGACUAUUGAUGAAGCGUUAAAUGGGUUGCCCUAUGUAGAUUACGCGUUGGUGUUAGGGUUGGGGGAGUUGGACAUUGGUGGUUUGAAGCGUCUGAUGCAGCCUGAUGGUGGCAUUGGUUCUUUGUGAAGUUUGUGUUUUCCCUUUAAUAAUAUUUUGUUGUUGGGUAUGUAGGCCGGUUUGGCUAUUUGGGCAUGUUUAAUCAUCUUUGUGAACUAUAUGCGUGUGUUGAUUUCGUUUUGUUUUGCUUGAAAUCCUUAAUCAUUGUUGAACAACUCUUAGUUUAUCGUAUUGAGCUUGUAAUGUUUCGCUA